GACGAACCGUCCAAACGUUAUUCGGAAUCACUGGGCUUACAGAGUUCGUAGGCGGUCUGGAAAGUUGGGUGUGAAAUCCCUCGGCCUAACCGAGGAACUGCGCUUGAAACUACCAGACUCGAGGGAGAUAGAGGAAAGCGGAACUGAUGGUGGAGCGGUGAAAUGCGUUGAUAUCAUCAGGAACACCGGUGGCGAAGGCGGCUUUACUGGGUCUUACCUGACGCUGAGGAACGAAAGCCAGG
rnacentral:rRNA from 1 species